UACAGAGGUCCCAAGCGUUGUUCGGAUUCAUUGGGCGUAAAGGGUGCGUAGGCGGUGAGGUAAGUUGGAUGUGAAAUCCCGGGGCUCAACCCCGGAACUGCAUUCAAUACUGCUUUGCUAGAGUACUGGAGAGGAGAUUGGAAUUCACGGUGUAGCAGUGAAAUGCGUAGAUAUCGUGAGGAAGACCAGUGGCGAAGGCACUCUACUGGGCUAUUACUGACACUCAGAGACGAAAGCUAGGGGAGCAAAUGGG
rnacentral:rRNA from 1 species